CAGGAAUGCAGCCCAAGCUUUCUGGCUGCAAGCAAUGAUGAGGCUGAUAAGGAAAUGAGGGGAUGCAAGUGCCAGAGUGCCUGGUGCCCCGRGAUGAGAAUAUUGAGAUGAAGUUGUUUCCUGCAGGAAGGCUGGAGCUGAGGGGCUCUCAGGAGCUGCAGUCCUUGGAACUGUGAGGUGUCUGUGGAGGGGUUUCUCACUGGGGUUCCUCCCAUCGAGUUCUGCCCGUGGACCUGGCUUUUUCUGCAGACAGGAGAGGAAGGAGGUGGUGUUUUUGUAAAGGGCUGAGCUGCUGUGGGCCUGAUCUUUGAGAAGCUCCAGUUUCUGGCUGCAUUUCAGGUGACAGUGCUUUCAGGAAAAGAGGAGUUUAAAAGGCAAAUACAUUUCUUUGGAUGGUUUUUGCAAAGCACUUUAGGGCUGUGUGAAUACAGGAAACUUGGGGAAAUUAACUUUUGGACAAGGAACAAGAAUUAUUGUA